rnacentral:rRNA from 1 species
GAUGAACGCUGGCGGCGUGCUUAACACAUGCAAGUCGAACGAAGCGCUUUUACAGAUUUCUUCGGAAUGAAGUUUUAGUGACUGAGUGGCGGACGGGUGAGUAACGCGUGGGUAACCUGCCUCACACAGGGGGAUAACAGUUGGAAACGGCUGCUAAUACCGCAUAAGCGCACAGUACCGCAUGGUACGGUGUGAAAAACUCCGGUGGUGUGAGAUGGACCCUCGUCUGAUUAGCUAGUUGGCAGGGCAACGGCCUACCAAGGCGACGAUCAGUAGCCGACCUGAGAGGGUGACCGGCCACAUUGGGACUGAGACACGGCCCAAACUCCUACGGGAGGCAGCAGUGGGGAAUAUUGCACAAUGGGGGAAACCCUGAUGCAGCGACGCCGCGUGAGCGAAGAAGUAUUUCGGUAUGUAAAGCUCUAUCAGCAGGGAAGAAGAAAUGACGGUACCUGACUAAGAAGCACCGGCUAAAUACGUGCCAGCCGCCGCAGUAAGAC